rnacentral:lncRNA from 1 species
UAAUACCAAAGAAGAAGAUCCCUUUGCGUUUGUAGCGUCCAUUCUGUUUGUCCUUAGCCGUGCACUGUAGCUAGCUAGGAAGUUGAUGUCAUCCCAUUUCACAUGAUGUGUAGCGACGUCCAAACAUCAAAACAUUGCUAGCAAAUUGUAAAAAAAAAAAAAUGGAUAGUAACAAUAUAAUUCCAUUAAAUAACGACAGUAGACGCUGUAUUUUCUUUAAUACAGAUUCUGACGACUAUCGAUGUGUGGUGAUUCUCACAGUGAAGCGAGCCACAGGCACCUUCUCACUGAUAGGAUGCUUUUUCAUGCUGUUUGUAAUCUGGCUUCUCCGCCGGUAUCACUCCUUGGCCCAGAAGAUGAUUUGCAGUCUGACAGUUGCGGCCUUCUUUGACAGUGUAGCGUAUGUCAUCGGUGAUACCCAUCCAGAGGGGAGUCUGUGUAACUUCCAGGCCUGGUGGCUCACUUAUUUUGACUGGAGUGCCUUGGCCUGGGUGUGCCUGAUCACAGUGAACCUCUACCUUAACCUGGUCAAAGAGAUGAGCACCAGCCGCUACGAGCUACUGUACCACCUGAUGGCCUGGGGGGUGCCCCUGGUGAUGGCCUCCCUGCCCCUGUUCAGUGGAUACUACGGCCCAGCAGGAGCCUGGUGCUGGAUCACAGGCAACCACGUAGCUUGGAGAUUUGGGAUAUGGUACGUCCCACUCUUCACCCUCAUCUUCCUCAUGAUCUGCUGCUAUGCCAGAAUAAUCUACGUAGCCAAUGAGAGGAUGCAGUCAUGGUUUGGCACCUUUAACCCAGAGAGGGAGAGGAGAAAGGUGUCUUUGGCUGAGGAGAUAAAGCCGUUGAAGUGGUAUCCAUCCGUUUAUCUCCUGGUGUCUCUGUUCCCCCUCAUCAACAGGCUCCAUAAUGCGUUCUACCCCCAGGACCCAGUGUUCUCUCUUACUUUGCUCCAUGUCCUUUCAGCCCCUCUCCAUGGCUUGGCCAACGCAUUCGUCUUUGGCCUGGACAGAGACACCUGGAGCCAGCUCAGUCCUACAGGCAUACAGUUGGCGCUGCAAUCUCGGCUGUGUGACAGGACGCGUAUCAGGGAGUACCAUCCUGGGGCGGUGCACUACACACAGGCUGAGCUGGGGGACUUCAGUGACGAGGAUGAUGAUGACACCAACGUCCUUUUCUACUCCCCUGACAUGACCCUGAAAGACAGAGGACCCUAA